GACGUAAUAAUGGAAGAAUAAGUUACUCUAGGGAUAACAGCAUAAUUUUAAUAAUAGUUUGUGACCUCGAUGUUGGACUAGGUACUUUAUUCUUAAGGCAAGAAUAAAGACUGCUCUGUUCGAGCAAGCAUACCUACAU
rnacentral:rRNA from 1 species